CCUCAUGGCCCCGCGGGCGCGCCCCGCCGCGCCGGGCCCCCCGCCAUCGCCGCCGCCGCCGCCGCCGCUCAGCGGGCGCCCCCGCCGGCCCCCGCCGGGCGCGGCCCCCCCGCCAUCCGCCGCCGCGCUGGGCCCGGCGGGAGCCGCCUUCCCCCGGCCGCGGCCCCGCCGCGCCGCGCAGGGGAAGCGCCCGCCGCCCCCCGCCCGCGCGCGGGGCCGGGCGGAGGCGGGGAGCGGCGCCCCCCGGGGGGCGGGGAGGGGCGCCCCACGCGUGGGCCGGCGGCGGCGAGGCGAGGCGGGCCGCCGGGGCUGCAGGGCUGGAGCCGGCGUGCGUGAGCGGCCGCUCGCCCCGGCCCCGCCGCCCGCACACGCACGCACAGCGGCGCCGGCUCUUCCCGGGGCGCGGGCAGCCUCCGCGAGUUACCCGGGCAGCUCCUGCCCCGCGAACGCACGGGGGGUCCUUAAUUCUCCUGUGCUGGCCCCCCCAACCAACACCGCCCCCCCACCCCCCACCCCCCCAUCGCCCUGUGCGUACAAAGGAAACUUCGGUCGCACCCUCUGGCAUUAGCCCGUAACUGAGUCGGACUUCCGUAAGACCUCUCUCUACCUAUGAGGCUGAGCACUCACCAGGAGGAAGAGACACAGCUAGAUUACCUUUAGAAAUAAGACUUGUGCCAAAUAAUUCAGGUCAGUGUGUAGAGAAGAUCUAACAGACGAUGGGAAGCCUAUGAGGACACAAGUCCAGUGAAAGUCCCUAGAUGACCAUGCAGCUAGAUGACACAAGAUAAACAUUUCUUGGAAGCAAUUUCUGGGUUAUAGAGGCUUCUGCAAGUGAGAACGUGGAGAGGGACCAUGAAGUGUAAUCACAAAGUCCUUCGUUUAAAUUACCAGCAGCAGAAAAAACAGAAGAGAAAGUGGUGGAGCCAGGCCUUAGUAAGCAGCAAAAGACCUGUUUGGUCUAUGGAACCAGGCAAUAAAUGUUAAUCAUCUAAACUCAAAACAUUUUUGAAAGGAUGAGCCUGUCCACCUCAAUUAUUAACAUGUCUCUAAAUUUAACCUCAAUGUUUACACAAUAUGGUUAUUUUCAUCAAUUGUGCUGCCACUCUGUGUCGUGAGUAUGCUCCAGCGUUCCUCUGUCCGAACCCUCUUGUUCACCCUGCCGGAUAAGCCGCAGUGCCUCGCUUUGUCACUGGAUUGAUGUGCACCACUACAGAAUGGCCAUGCAUCUCACUACAGAGGUGGGUGUCUUCCUAUAUCGGGUGAAAUGACUUCAUGGGAGUAGCCAGUAUUUGAGGAAGCACCCCUACAAAUGCCAAGUCCCAGCCAAAGCUCAAAGUGAUGUGUGAAAAAUGCUCAAAUUAGUCCCACAAAAGUCGAUCAGAGGAUUAAUUUGUAAAGGCAUCCCUGUCUCUGCAAGAUUGGAGUCAUGGUUUAUGAGUCUCUAAAAAACCUUUUAGACUUACAAGGAAUGUUAAGUCUUUGGGAAAGUCAGUGAAAAGGGCAGUGUCAUCUGAAUGCCCUGUUUGCAGCAUAUCGUCUUUCAGACCAAUCAAUCUCUCCUUUUUGAGCAGAGCUGUCCCCAAGCAGCAGAAGGUAACACUGGAAUGGACAUAACACAAGCCUGGCUUUCAGUCAAUGAUUUAUUGUUGUCAUAAAUGGACAGGAGCCUUAAAGACAGUCAAAGAAAAUACAUCAGUGGAACCCUUUUCUCUGAAGAGGCAGCUCCUUUGAGGAACUGCUCAAAUAUAGAGUGGAAAACAGCUUCUCUUCUCCAGAGUUUAUGGUGCAAUCCCUGAAGAAAUUCAGCCAGUGAACAACAUAAGAAGGAGAGUGGCUUAUUUAUCAAAUGCAAAAGAAGACAUAUACAAAUGAAGGCAUUCAUAGUAAAACAACUCCUGGAGACCUAGCUGCAGUUGGAGGCUCUGCUGUAUUAUGGCAUACAGUAAGAUGUUCCCUUCUUCAAGGAGAUUUCAGUCUGAGAAAAACGCAGCUGCUGCAGGGAUGCAGAAUGCAAGAGAAGAGUCAGAAGCAACAAGGAGAAAAGCAGAGGACAGAAGAGUGCACACCAAAUUGUUACUGCUGACUCAAUCAGAACUCGCAGCCUGCAGCCUGAAUUGUACUUACAGUCCAAAGUGAGAAGAAGAUGGGCCUCACACUUCUGAAUUCACUAAAUACUGCACGGAUUACUUCAGCUUCCAUGCUACAUUUUACACACCACCUAGUAGAUAGCUAUACCUAGGAAUGAAUAUUAAAUCCUUCCUUGUUUUCUGCUGUUC